rnacentral:rRNA from 1 species
UACGUAGGCAGCAAGCGUUGUUCGGAAUUAUUGGGCGUAAAGAGUGUGUAGGCGGUGCUCUAAGUUUGGUGUGAAAUCUCCCGGCUUAACUGGGAGGGUGCGCCGAAAACUGGAGUGCUUGAGUAUGGGAGAGGUAAGCGGAAUUCCUGGUGUAGCGGUGAAAUGCGUAGAUAUCAGGAGGAACACCUGUGGUGUAGACAGCUUACUGGACCAUCACUGACGCUGAGACACGAAAGCGUGGGUAGCAAACAGG